CGCAUCUGUGCAUGCAGCAUAUCAAUAAGCGGAGGAAAAGAAACUAACAAGGAUUCCCCUAGUAACGGCGAGUGAAGCGGGAAGAGCUCAAGUUUGAAAUCUUAAAGGGUUUCCCUUUACGAAUUGUAGUUUAAAGAAGUGUUUUCUGUUGAGGUUUUGGUAAAAGUUCUUUGGAAUAGGACAUCAUAGAGGGUGAGAAUCCCGUAUUUGACCUUUACUUUCAACUUUGUGAUACACUUUCAAAGAGUCGGAUUGUUUGGGAAUGCAGUCCAAAAUGGGUGGUAAAUUUCAUCUAAAGCUAAAUAUUGGCGAGAGACCGAUAGCGAACAAGUACCGUGAGGGAAAGAUGAAAAGAACUUUGAAAAGAGAGUUAAACAGUACGUGAAAUUGUCAAAAGGGAAGCGUUUGACACCAGUGUUGUUUUUCUGAAAAUCAAUUAAAGAACUGUUUAUGCUAAGUUGUUUUAGACUUUAUCAGCUAACUGUUUAGUUUUGAGCUUUUCUUUAAUGCACUUUUCAGUUAACAAGUCAACAUCAAUUUCUUUUGCUGUAAAAAAGCUUGAGGAAGGUGGCUUGAGAUUCGUCUUAAGUGUUUAUAGCCUCUUGCCUAUGCAGUCGGAGAGAUUGAGGUCUGCAGCGUAGAUCCUUCGGGGCUAAAUGCAUUUGUGCUAAGUUAUAACAUUUUAUAGACAACUUGUUGACUAUGAUUUGUCUUGUAGCUUACUCGCUUAUGUUAUUUUACCUACGCUUAGGAUGUUGACAGCAGUAUAGACUGU
rnacentral:rRNA from 1 species